ensembl:snRNA U6 U6 spliceosomal RNA
GUGCUCGUUUUGGCAGCACAUAUACUAAGACUGGAACGAUACAGAGAAGAUUAGCAUAGCUCCUGCACAAGCAUGAUGUGUAAAUUUGUGAAGCAUUCCAUAUUUAU